AGGUUAUUAGCACCUGUGGAGUCAAAAACAAAAUUGAUUUUCUGUCACUUUCAUAUAAUCGUCAUGCCGAAGAUGUUCGCCAGGCCCGUGAAUUCCUUUCCAAAUUGGGUGAUCUCAGCCAGACCCAAAUUUUUGCUAAGAUUGAAAUGUUGAGGGCCUGACCCAUUUUGAUGAGAUUCUACGAGAAGCUGAUGGUAUUAUCCUAUCUCAUGGUAAUUUGGGCAUUGGUCUUCCACCAGAGAAGGUUAGUUUUGCCUUUGAAAUUCAUUUUGUUGUUUGAAUGACUCAUGUUGUGGGUGUAAAUAGCUAUGUUUGGGGUCAUGUGGAUAAUGCAUUUGAUAUUUGAAUAAAUUAAAACAAAUGGAUGCUUCCAUAUGUUUAAAAAAGGUUUAAAAUAGUGCAUCUAAUGUUACAAAUUUUCUUUGAA